GAUCCUGGCUCAGAUUGAACGCUGGCGGCGUGCUUAACACAUGCAAGUCGAACGCGAAAGUGGCUUCGGCCACGAGUAGAGUGGCGCACGGGUGAGUAACGCGUGGAUAAUCUGCCUCUGCAAUCGGAAUAACGACUGGAAACGGUCGCUAAUACCGGAUACGCUUAAGUUUUACCUCUUAAGGAAAGGUGACCUCUAUUUAUAAGUUUAAUCGUGCAGAGAUGAGUCCGCGUCCCAUUAGCUUG
rnacentral:rRNA from 1 species